rnacentral:rRNA from 1 species
UACAGAGGGUGCAAGCGUUCCUCGGAUUUACUGGGCGUAAAGCGUGCGUAGGCGGUUCAUUAAGUCGGUUGUGAAAUCCCUGGGCUUAACCUGGGAACUGCAGUCGAUACUGGUGGACUAGAGUGCGGUAGAGGGUGGCGGAACUCCGGGUGUAGCGGUGAAAUGCGUAGAUAUCCGGAAGAACACCGAUGGCGAAGGCAACCACCUGGGCCUGCACUGACGCUGAGGUACGAAAGCGUGGGGAGCAAACAGG